rnacentral:tRNA from 1 species
GCCGGAGUGGCGAAACAGGCAGACGCCCGGGACUUAAAAUCCCGUGGGAGCGAUCCCGUACCGGUUCGAACCCGGUCUCCGGCACCA